rnacentral:rRNA from 1 species
CGGGUAGCGGAACACGUACACAACCUUCCGAUAAGUGGGGAAUAGCCCAGAGAAAUUUGGAUUAAUACCCCGUAACAUAUAGAGUAGGCAUCUUCUUUAUAUUAUAGCUUCGGCGCUUAUUGAUGGGUGUGCGUCUGAUUAGGUAGUUGGCGGGGUAACGGCCCACCAAGCCUACGAUCAGUAGCUGAUGUGAGAGCGUGAUCAGCCACACGGGCACUGAGACACGGGCCCG